rnacentral:rRNA from 1 species
AGCAGCCGCGGUAAUUCCAGCUCCAAUAGCGUAUAUUAAAGUUGUUGCAGUUAAAAAGCUCGUAGUUGAAUUUCGGGGUUAGUAGGUUGGUCAUGCCUCUGGUAUGUACUGGUCUCACUGAUUCCUCCUUCCUGAUGAGCCGUAAUGCCAUUAAUUUGGUGUUGCGGGGAAUUUGGACUGUUACUUUGAAAAAAUUAGAGUGUUUAAAGCAGGCAUUUUUGCUUGAAUACAUUAGCAUGGAAUAAUAAAAUAGGACGGCAUGGUUCUAUUUUGUUGGUUUCUAGGACCACCGUAAUGAUUAAUAGGGAUAGUUGGGGGCAUUAGUAUUCAAUUGUCAGAGGUGAAAUUCUUGGAUUUAUUGAAGACUAGCUACUGCGAAAGCAUUUGCCAAGGAUGUUUUCAUUAAUCAAGAACGAAAGUUAGGGGAUCGAAG